rnacentral:rRNA from 1 species
GACUCUCGACAAUGGAUAUCUCGGCUCUCGCAUCAACGAAGAACAUUGUGAAGUGCGAUACUUGGUGUGAAUUGCAGAAUCCCAUAAACCAUCGAGUCUUUGAAUGUAGGUUUUUUAGAAAGCCA